AGACAGUAAGGGUGCACGGUGGAUGCCUUGGCUUGCGUAGGCGAUGAAGGACGUGAUUAGCCGGCGAUACGCUUCGGGGAGGUGGCUUUUAACCUUCGAUCCGGAGAUGUCCGAAUGGGGAAACCCUCCCGCCAUGCGCGGGAACCAUACGAGUAACGUCGUAUGGAGCGCACCUGGGGAAGUGAAACAUCUCAGUACCCAGAGGAAAAGAAAGCAAUAGUGAACCGUUUUUUAUCGGCCCGACUAGUCUGGCUGAUAAAAAACGGUUCCCGCGAUUCCCUAAGUAGCGGCGAGCGAAACGGGAUAAGCCCAAACCCACAUGUUCGCAUGUGGGGGUUGUAAGGCAGGAACGCAGUACUUGUACUGGAAGAGUUAUCAAUCAUACUUAUAGAAGAAACUGCUGGAAAGCAGUGCCCAAGACGGUAAUAGCCCCGUAUUUGAAAUGGGUAUGACUCUUUCGUUCCUGUUCUUGAGUAGUUCGAGACACGAAUAGCUCGAAUGAAUCUACCAGAACUAACUGGUAAGGCUACAUACUACGCAAGACCGAUAGUGAACUAGUACCGUGAGGGAAAGGUGAAAAGAACCCCGAUGAGGGGAGUGAAAUAGAACUGAAACCGUGUACCUACAAAGGGUCGGAGCCCAUGAUUCUUUUGAGUCAGGGUGACGGCGUGCCUAUUGAAGAAUGAGCCUGCGAGUGUGUGUCUGUUGCAUAGCUAAGCCCGUAAUGGGGUGGAGCUUCAGGGAAACCGAGUGUGAAUAGCGCGUCGGUAGCAGACAUACGACCCGAAGCCAGAUGAGCUUGCCAUGAGCAGGGUGAAGUGUGUCGAAAGACACAUGGAGGCCCGAACCCGUUGGUCGUACAACGCCUUGGGAUGACUUGUGGUAAGGAGUGAAAAGCUAAUCGAAUCUGGUAAUAGCUGGUUCUCUCCGAAACAGCUUUUGGGUUGGCGUCGCGUGAUCCUUCUGGGGGUAGAGCACUGGAAGGGAUGAACAGGGAGAAAUCUCGUCAUUCCUAUCAACCUCCGAAUACCAGAAGUUACAGCGCGGCAGUUAGAAGGCGGGGGCGAAGCUCCGUCGUUCGAAAGGGGAAGAGCCCAGAUCGCCAGUUAAGGCCCCAAAAUCGACGCUCAGUACAAGGUGAGGAAGUAAGAAUCCUGAGACAAUGAGGAUGUUGGCUUAGAAGCAGCCACCAUUUAAAGAAAGCGUAACAGCUCACUCAUCGAGGGUUCUUGCGCCGUAAAUAAUCGGGGUUAAGCGUCGUGCCGAAACUGCGGGUUUGCACACUUCACAGGGGAGGAAACUUCCUAAAUGUUCUUCGGGGUGGCGUUCUUCUACGCGCGGACAAAAUCCGCUGCGAGGAGGCCAGAGGUAUAGCCCUCACCACCCCGACCACUUUCUUUACGAAAGUGGUCAAGAAUUAUUGAGACGAAUCUAAUCAUAAUGAUUCGCCUCUCCUGUGAAGUGUGCAAGCGGUAGGAGAGCGUUCUGUUCCGCUAUGAAGGGAAAGGGGUGACCCGUCCUGGAGCGUACAGAAGUGAGAAUGCAGGCACAAGUAACCACAAUGCAGGUGAGAACCCUGCACAUCGAAAGACUAAGGUUUCCCGGGCCAUGACAAUCAUCCCGGGGUUAGUCGGACCUAAGGGGAUGGCGAAAGCCGCACCCGAUGGACACACGGUCAAUAUUCCGUGACCGCCGCACAUGCGAGUGGGGUGACGGACUGCAGUACUGACGGCCAGUUAUUGGAUUCUGGUUGGUUUCGUAAGGGGGCGCUCUAGGUAAAUCCGGAGCGCGCAUACCCCAAGCGAUGCCGCGACUUUCUUCUUCGGAGGGAGGAAGCGUCAGGAGCGCGGUUCCAAGAAAAACCUCUAAGCUUCAGUGUGCGUGCGACCGUACCGAAAACCGACACAGGUGGUCUGGUCGAGAAGACUAAGAUGAACGAGUGAGAGGUCCUCAAGGAACUCGGCAAACAAGCGGCCGUAACUUCGGGAUAAGGCCUGCCCAUCGCAAGAUGGGCCGCAGCGAAAGAUUUCCUAGCGACUGUUUACCAAAAACACAGCUCCCUGCGAACUCGUAAGAGGAAGUAUAGGGGGUGACGCCUGACCAAUGCCGGAAGGUCAAGUACGGGUGGUUACAUACUUCGGUGUGUAGCUGGACUGUAUAAGCCCCGGUGAAUGUCGGCGAUAACUAUAAUCGUCCUAAGGUCAGACACACUUUUCAGAAAUGAUAAGCGUGUCUGAGGAUUGGGACGAUUGUAGGGUAGACAGUAACGUCAGCUGCCUUACUGCACAGCAAUGUGCAGAUUAAUCCACCCAUGGCCAUAUGCUGGGAAGGGAGUGUCUAGGGCAUAAUUAUUCCUUAGACAUGAACGAUCAGCAGGAAAGAUCGAGAAUUGAAGGAUAGAUUGUGGAAUUUACGGAUAGAGAAGGGCUUCAGAAGGAAGAUUGCGUACAUUAAUAGAGCGCAUGAAUCGCAAGAACCCAUCACAAUUCUUGAAAUCCUCAGAGACUACACGCCAUGCCCCCGUACACGAUGCGGGGUGAAGAUAUAGUCCAAAGGUUUAAAGGAACCUAGAGCGAAAUUCCUUGUCGGGUAAAUUCCGACGUGCACGAAUGGCGUAACGACUGGGAAACUGUCUCGAGGACUCGCUCGGUGAAAAUGCAAUACCGGUGAAGAUGCCGGUUACCUGUAGUUAGACGAAAAGACCCCAGGAGCUUUACUGCAGCUUCGUAUUGGGGCUACGUGAUACGUGCGUAGCAUAGGUGGGAGACUUUGAAGCGUGCCUUUUGGGGUACGUGGAGUCGCCAGUGAAAUACCACUCUCGUAUUGUGUAGUUCCUAACCGUCGGGUGGAACCCCGUCGGGACCGUGCGUGGCAGGCAGUUUUAGUGGGGCGCUAUCCUCGAAAGCAGCGCCCAUCCGACUAAAUCCAAAAACAGGAAAAUAUAAAAAAGGGGGACUAUGUGAAGUAAUUCACAUAAGCAAUCUGGCUAAAUGCUGGAACAUCCGAGAAUCUUCAAGUACUCAUUUAGGACACGCCGUGUCCUAAAUAGUGAAAAUCUUUGAAGUGCGGACAAUCAGCAGGGAAGACUCGCAAGAGAACCCUCAGAGACUACACGCCAGACUCCGCGCAUAGCGGAUGAAGAUAUAGUCCGAUCUGCAUGGCGACAUGCAGGCGCAAUUUCCUCCCGUGAUUGCGCACGCCCAUUUAGGACACGGCGUGUCCUAAAUGGGGAACACAAGCCUAAAAAGUAACGGAGGAGCCUAUUAAGGUCGGCUAGGCGCGAAUGGAAACCGUGCCGAUAGUGUAAUGGCACAAGCCGGCUUAACUGCGAGGGGUACAUCCCAAGCAGAUGCGAAAGCAGAGCAUAGUGAACCGAUGGUUCGCCUUAGAAGCGGCCAGAGAUUAACGGAUAAAAGUUACCCUGGGGAUAACAGGCUAGUACCGCCCAAGCGUCCAUAGCGACGGCGGUGUUCGGCACCUCGAUGUCGGCUCACCUUAGCGCGGGGCUGAAGCAGGUCCCAAGCGUUUGGCUGUUCGCCAAUUAAAAAGGUACGCGAGCUGGGUUCAAACCGUCGAGCACCUGAAUCACGCGAUUCGGUUGUUCGACCCGUUUGAACCCCGAGGAAACUGUUAUAUAGAAUCUGCACAAGAUCUCAUUGCGUAUGCGAUGAGUAACUUGAGCAGGUUUGCAUGUGUGUGGAGACGCACAAAAAAAGACAUACUCACGGCGGCGCAUUGCAGGAAUGCAGUGCGAGCAAAUCGACUGAUAUCGGUGAAAUCCUGAACGUUGUGUACGUGAAGGACAAUACCGAGGGAAGUGCGGUAACGCAUGCCCCUAGAGACUGAAUGUCGAUCACCCUACCCAUCGAAAGAUGCCGGGUGGUGUUACAGUCCGAUCCCUUCAGUAAUGGAGGUAACGUUCUGCGCGAAAGCGAAGGACAAACUAGAUGCGUGAGACAGGUUGGUCUCCUAUCUACUACAGGCGUUGAUUCUUGAGGGGGCUCGUCCCUAGUACGAGAGGACCGGGAUGAACUGACCUCUGGUCUACCUGCUGUCGCGCCAGCGGCAUCGCAGGGUAGCUAUGUCGGGUUUUGAUAACCGCUGAAAGCAUCUAAGCGGGAAGCUUGCCCCAAGAUAAGGAAUCGUUAUGAGACUCCUGGAAGAUGACCAGGUUGAUAGGCUUUAGGUGUACGCACAGCAAUGUGUUCAGCCGAGAAGUACUAAUACGUCCAG
rnacentral:rRNA from 1 species